rnacentral:rRNA from 1 species
GAUGAACGCUGGCGGUAUGCUUAACACAUGCAAGUCGAACGGUCUUUUAGGAGACAGUGGCGGACGGGUGAGUAACGCGUAAGAAUCUACCUUCAGGUUGGGGACAACCACUGGAAACGGUGGCUAAUACCGAAUGUGCCGAGAGGUGAAAGGCUUGCUGCCUGAAGAAGAGCUUGCGUCUGAUUAGCUAGUUGGUAGUGUAAGAGACUACCAAGGCGACGAUCAGUAGCUGGUCUGAGAGGAUGAUCAGCCACACUGGGACUGAGACACGGCCCAGACUCCUACGGGAGGCAGCAGUGGGGAAUUUUCCGCAAUGGGCGAAAGCCUGACGGAGCAAUACCGCGUGAGGGAGGAAGGCUCUUGGGUUGUAAACCUCUUUUCUCAGGGAAGAACAGAAUGACGGUACCUGAGGAAUAAGCAUCGGCUAACUCCGUGCCAGCAGCCGCGGUAAUACGGAGGAUGCAAGCGUUAUCCGGAAUGAUUGGGCGUAAAGGGUCCGCAGGUGGCAUUGUAAGUCUGCUGUUAAAGAGUUUGGCUCAACCAAAUAAGAGCAGUGGAAACUACAAAGCUAGAGUGUGGUCGGGGCAGAGGGAAUUCCUGGUGUAGCGGUGAAAUGCGUAGAUAUCAGGAAGAACACCAGUGGCGAAGGCGCUCUGCUAGGCCGAGACUGACACUGAGGGACGAAAGCUAGGGGAGCGAAUGGGAUUAGAUACCCCAGUAGUCCUAGCCGUAAACGAUGGAUACUAGGCGUAGCUCGUAUCGACCCGAGCUGUGCCGGAGCUAACGCGUUAAGUAUCCCGCCUGGGGAGUACGCAGGCAACUGUGAAACUCAAAGGAAUUGACGGGGGCCCGCACAAGCGGUGGAGUAUGUGGUUUAAUUCGAUGCAACGCGAAGAACCUUACCAAGGCUUGACAUGUCACGAAUCCUAUUGAAAGAUGGGAGUGCCUUCGGGAGCGUGAACACAGGUGGUGCAUGGCUGUCGUCAGCUCGUGUCGUGAGAUGUUGGGUUAAGUCCCGCAACGAGCGCAACCCUCGUUUUUAGUUGCCAGCAUUAAGAUGGGCACUCUAGAGAGACUGCCGGUGACAAACCGGAGGAAGGUGGGGAUGACGUCAAGUCAGCAUGCCCCUUACGUCUUGGGCUACACACGUACUACAAUGCUCCGGACAAAGGGCAGCUACACAGCGAUGUGAUGCGAAUCUCAUAAACCGGAGCUCAGUUCAGAUCGAAGGCUGCAACUCGCCUUCGUGAAGGAGGAAUCGCUAGUAAUUGCAGGUCAGCAUACUGCAGUGAAUUCGUUCCCGGGCCUUGUACACACCGCCCGUCACACCAUGGAAGUUGGUCACGCCCGAAGUCGUUACCCCAACCUAUUGGAGGGGGAUGCCUAAGGUAGGACUGAUGACUGGGGUGAA